UACGGGGGGGGCAAGCGUUGUUCGGAAUUACUGGGCGUAAAGGGCUCGUAGGCGGCCAACUAAGUCAGACGUGAAAUCCCUCGGCUUAACCGGGGAACUGCGUCUGAUACUGGAUGGCUAGAGUUUGGGAGAGGGAUGCGGAAUUCCAGGUGUAGCGGUGAAAUGCGUAGAUAUCUGGAGGAACCCCGGUGGCGAAGGCGGCAUCCUGGACCAACACUGACGCUGAGGAGCGAAAGCCAGGGGAGCAAACGGG
rnacentral:rRNA from 1 species